GGCCUGGUGGUCUAGUAGUAUGAUUCCUUCUUAGGGUAUAUGUACCAUUUGGAGGAGGUCCCGGGUUCAAUUCCCGGCCAGGCCC